rnacentral:rRNA from 1 species
CUACGGGAGGCAGCAGUAGGGAAUCUUGCGCAAUGGGCGAAAGCCUGACGCAGCAACGCCGCGUGCGGGAUGACGGCCUUCGUGGUUGUAAACCGCUUUCAGCAGGGACGAAAAUGACGGUACCUGCAGAAGAAGUCCCGGCUAACUACGUGCCAGCAGCCGCGGUAAUACGUAGGGGACAAGCGUUGUCCGGAUUCAUUGGGCGUAAAGAGCUCGUAGGCGGUCUAGUAAGUUGGGUGUGAAAGCUCCGGGCCCAACCCGGAGAGGUCACCCAAAACUGCUAUGACUAGAGUCCAGUAGAGGAGCGUGGAGUUCCUGGUGUAGCGGUGAAAUGCGCAGAUAUCAGGAGGAACACCAGCAGCGAAGGCGGCGCUCUGGGCUGGAACUGACGCUGAGGAGCGAAAGCAUGGGUAGCAAACAGGAUUAGAUACCCUUGUAGUCC